GAUGAACGCUGGCGGCGUGCCUAAUACAUGCAAGUCGAGCGCAUGUACGCGACGCUUGCCUCUCUGACGUUAGCGGCGGACGGGUGCGUAACGCGUGGUUAACCUUCCUAUACGUAUGGGAUAACUGCGGGAAACCCGAGCUAACACCGGAUAAUAUCUUGAAACACAUGAUUCAGCAGUGCAAGACGGUCUUGCUGUCACUUGUAGAUGGAUCCGCGCUGCAUUAGCUAGUUGGUAAGGUAACGGCUCACCAAGGCCACGAUGCAUAGCCGACCUGAGAGGGUGAUCGGCCACACUGGAACUGAGACACGGUCCAGACUCCUACGGGAGGCAGCAGUAGGGAAUCUUCGGCAAUGGACGAAAGUCUGACCGAGCAACGCCGCGUGAGUGAAGAAGGUUUUCGGAUCGUAAAACUCUGUUAUUAGGGAAGAACAAGGGCGUUAGUAACUGAACGCCCCCUGACGGUACCUAACCAGAAAGCCACGGCUAACUACGUG
rnacentral:rRNA from 1 species